rnacentral:rRNA from 1 species
UUCAUUGAGAGUUUGAUCCUGGCUCAGGAUGAACGCUGGCGGCGUGUUUAAGGCAUGCAAGUCGGGGGAUCGGUGCACCUUCGGGUGUACACGGACCGGCAAACGGGUGAGUAACACACUGGUAACCCACCUUCGAGUCGAGCAUAGCCCAUCGAAAGAUGGAUUAAUACUCGAUAGUCAUGAGGGGUCAUAAGACAUUCUCAUGUAAAGAUUUAUCGCUCGAAGAGGGGCCUAUGGCUGAUUAGCUUGUUGGUAGGGUAAUGGCCUACCAAGGCUUUGAUCAGUAGCAGGCGUGAGAGCGUGACCUGCCUCACUGGGACUGAGACACUGCCCAGACUCCUACGGGAGGCUGCAGUCAAGAAUAUUCCACAAUGGGCGAAAGCCUGAUGGAGCGACGCCGCGUGCAGGAAGACGGCCUUCGGGUUGUAAACUGCUUUUCUAAAGGAAGAACUCGUGACGGUACUUUAGGAAUAAGAGGUGGCUAACUCUGUGCCAGAAGCCUCGGUAAUACAGAGACCUCAAGCGUUAUCCGGAUUCAUUGGGCGUAAAGCGUCCGCAGGUGGUUAAAUAAGUUAAUGGUCAAAUCCUCGGGCUUAACUCGAGGACUGCUGUUAAUACUGUUUGACUGGAGGCUGGAAAAGGCAAGCGGAACACACGGUGUAGUCGUAAUAAGCGCUGAUAUCGUGUGGAACACCAAAGGCGAAGGCAGCUUGCUGGUACAUGCCUGACACUCAUGGACGAAAGCGUGGGUAGCGAAUGGGAUUAGAUACCCCAGUAGUCCACGCCGUAAACGAUGCGCACUAGGUUUUGGGAGUAUCGACCCUCCCUGAGCCGUUUAAAAAAGCUAACGCGUUAAGUGCGCCGCCUGGGGAGUACGGCCGCAAGGUUAAAACUCAAAGGAAU